AUUGAACGCUGGCGGCAGGCCUAACACAUGCGAGUCGAACGGUAACAGGAAGCAGCUUGCUGCUUCGCUGACGAGUGGCGGACGGGUGAGUAAUGUCUGGGAAGCUGCCUGAUGGAGGGGGAUAACUACUGGAAACGGUAGCUAAUACCGCAUAAUGUCGCAAGACCAAAGAGGGGGACCUUCGGGCCUCUUGCCAUCGGAUGUGCCCAGAUGGGAUUAGCUUGUUGGUGGGGUAACGGCUCACCAAGGCGACGAUCCCUAGCUGGUCUGAGAGGAUGACCAGCCACACUGGAACUGAGACACGGUCCAGACUCCUACGGGAGGCAGCAGUGGGGAAUAUUGCACAAUGAGCGCAAGCCUGAUGCAGCCAUGCCGCGUGUAUGAAGAAGGCCUUCGGGUUGUAAAGUACUUUCAGCGGGGAGGAAGGGAGUAAAGUUAAUACCUUUGCUCAUUGACGUUACCCGCAGAAGAAGCACCGGCUAACUCCGUG
rnacentral:rRNA from 1 species